GACGAACGCUGGCGGCGUGCUUAACACAUGCAAGUCGAACGGAAAGGCCCUGCUUUUGUGGGGUGCUCGAGUGGCGAACGGGUGGGUAACACGUGAGUAACCUGCCCUUGACUUUGGGAUAACUUCAGGAAACUGGGGCUAAUACCGGAUAGGAGCUCCUGCUGCAUGGUGGGGGUUGGAAAGUUUCGGCGGUUGGGGAUGGACUCGCGGCUUAUCAGCUUGUUGGUGGGGUAGUGGCUUACCAAGGCUUUGACGGGUAGCCGGCCUGAGAGGGUGACCGGCCACAUUGGGACUGAGAUACGGCCCAGACUCCUACGGGAGGCAGCAGUGGGGAAUAUUGCACAAUGGGCGGAAGCCUGAUGCAGCAACGCCGCGUGCGGGAUGACGGCCUUCGGGUUGUAAACCGCUUUCGCCUGUGACGAAGCGUGAGUGACGGUAAUGGGUAAAGAAGCACCGGCUAACUACGUGCCAGCAGCCGCGGUGAUACGUAGGGUGCGAGCGUUGUCCGGAUUUAUUGGGCGUAAAGGGCUCGUAGGUGGUUGAUCGCGUCGGAAGUGUAAUCUUGGGGCUUAACCCUGAGCGUGCUUUCGAUACGGGUUGACUUGAGGAAGGUAGGGGAGAAUGGAAUUCCUGGUGGAGCGGUGGAAUGCGCAGAUAUCAGGAGGAACACCAGUGGCGAAGGCGGUUCUCUGGGCCUUUCCUGACGCUGAGGAGCGAAAGCGUGGGGAGCGAACAGGCUUAGAUACCCUGGUAGUCCACGCUGUAAACGGUGGGUACUAGGUGUGGGGUCCAUUCCACGGGUUCCGUGCCGUAGCUAACGCUUUAAGUACCCCGCCUGGGGAGUACGGCCGCAAGGCUAAAACUCAAAGGAAUUGGCGGGGCCCCGCACAAGCGGCGGAGCAUGCGGAUUAAUUCGAUGCAACGCGUAGAACCUUACCUGGGUUUGACAUGGAUCGGGAGUGCUCAGAGAUGGGUGUGCCUCUUUUGGGGCCGGUUCACAGGUGGUGCAUGCCUGUCGUCAGCUCGUGUCGUGAGAUGUUGGGUUAAGUCCCGCAACGAGCGCAACCCUUGUUCACUGUUGCCAGCACGUUAUGGUGGGGACUCAGUGGAGACCGCCGGGGUCAACUCGGAGGAAGGUGGGGAUGACGUCAAAUCAUCAUGCCCCUUAUGUCCAGGGCUUCACGCAUGCUACAAUGGCUGGUACAGAGAGUGGCGAGCCUGUGAGGGUGAGCGAAUCUCGGAAAGCCGGUCUCAGUUCGGAUUGGGGUCUGCAACUCGACCUCAUGAAGUCGGAGUCGCUAGUAAUCGCAGAUCAGCAACGCUGCGGUGAAUAAAUUCCCGGGGCU
rnacentral:rRNA from 1 species